rnacentral:lncRNA from 1 species
UUUAUCUCUUUAGGAUAAGAACCACCAGAGGGAAGAAGCCUUCCUUUGUUGACGAGUUGUGGGCACCAUAAUGCUCACACUCCCCCUGCUGCGUUCACAGCACCUACAACCCCUCAGGAGGAGAAUCACACUGAUGUUCUUCGGGAGUUCCUUUCAGGCUUCCAACACAGACUGCAGUGAGUUCCAGGUCCUCCACCUUGGACUAGACCCUCAGACUCCAGCACACAGAUGCCAUUGUGCAUUCAUCCUCCCUUAUUACACAGGCAGCCUAUCUAAUAAAUCCUUUAUAUAACCA